UACGUAGGACACAAGCGUUAUCCGGAGUUACUGGGCGUAAAGGGCGUGUAGGCGGACCUAUAAGUCUAUUCUGAAAGCUCCUGGCUAAACUGGGAGAGGCGAAUGGAGACUGUAGAUCUAGAGUGAGGAAGAGGAAAGUGGAAUUCCGCGUGUAGUGGUGAAAUGCGUAGAGAUGCGGAGGAACACCAGUGGCGAAAGCGACUUUCUGGUCCUUAACUGACGCUGAGGCGCGAAAGCAUGGGGAGCGAACGGG
rnacentral:rRNA from 1 species